rnacentral:antisense_RNA from 11 species
CAUAGUUGAAAAUAGCACCUGGGUUUAAAGUAGGGUUAGCUACAACACGUACGUCUCCACCACCUGGAGCCCAAGUAUCAUAAAGACCUCCAAAGAACAUAGCCUUUAAAACAAGAAGGAAAGCUCCAACUCCUAAAAGGAUAAGGUGAAUACCUAAGAUAGUAGUCAUCUUGUUCUUAUCACGCCA